rnacentral:lncRNA from 1 species
GCAGUUGUCUGUGGUAGGAUCAGUUCGGAUUAACGGACAACCCUACGCAAGACCAAUACGUGAAAAAAAAUUGUGAAAAUCGGCCUCAUUCUUAAGUACCCUUCGUCCUCUACAAAGAAUUUCAAUUUCUUUUGAUGCAGUCGGCAUAACUCUUUUGACGGUUGUGGGCCUCCUUCAACCUUUCCUUGAGACGUUACACUUGUUUAACUGUUUCUUUGUUCAAUCCUGACUCGAGCUCGCGUCUCUCCCCCAUUUUAUUCCAACAUAGGGUAGUAUGGCAUGACCGCCCAUACAACGCCUUAUAGGGAUACAUCUCGAUACGUACUUGUAUGGUAUCUGUUUUUGUAGGCGAAUUUUACUAGGGAAAGGUACUCAAC